AUUGAACGCUGGCGGCAUGCCUUACACAUGCAAGUCGAACGGUAACGGGCCUUCGGGUGCCGACGAGUGGCGAACGGGUGAGUAAUGUAUCGGAACGUACCUUUCAGUGGGGGGUAACGUAGCGAAAGUUACGCUAAUACCGCAUAUUCUGUGAGCAGGAAAGCAGGGGAUCGCAAGACCUUGCGCUGAUUGAGCGGCCGAUAUCAGAUUAGCUAGUUGGUGAGGUAAAGGCUCACCAAGGCGACGAUCUGUAGCGGGUCUGAGAGGAUGAUCCGCCACACUGGAACUGAGGCACGGUCCAGACUCCUACGGGAGGCAGCAGUGGGGAAUUUUGGACAAUGGGGGCAACCCUGAUCCAGCCAUGCCGCGUGAGUGAAGAAGGCCUUCGGGUUGUAAAGCUCUUUCGGCCGGGAAGAAAUCGUAUCAGCUAAUACCUGGUGCGGACGACGGUACCGGCAUAAGAAGCACCGGCUAACUACGUGCCAGCCGCCGCAGUAAUAC
rnacentral:rRNA from 1 species